rnacentral:rRNA from 1 species
UACGAAGGGGGCUAGCGUUGCUCGGAAUCACUGGGCGUAAAGGGUGCGUAGGCGGGUUUUUAAGUCAGAGGUGAAAUCCUGGAGCUCAACUCCAGAACUGCCUUUGAUACUGAAAGUCUUGAGUAUGGGAGAGGUGAGUGGAACUGCGAGUGUAGAGGUGAAAUUCGUAGAUAUUCGCAAGAACACCAGUGGCGAAGGCGGCUCACUGGCCCAUUACUGACGCUGAGGCACGAAAGCGUGGGGAGCAA